rnacentral:tRNA from 1 species
GGUAAAAUGGCUGAAAAUAAGCGAUAAAUUGUAAAUUUAUAUAUGAAAAUUUUUUUCUUUUACCA